rnacentral:sRNA from 1 species
UCCAAUAUGGACGCCGACUUAUAUGGA